rnacentral:rRNA from 1 species
AUUGAACGCUGGCGGAAUGCUUUACACAUGCAAGUCGAACGGCAGCACGGGGGCAACCCUGGUGGCGAGUGGCGAACGGGUGAGUAAUACAUCGGAACGUGCCCAGUCGUGGGGGAUAACGUAGCGAAAGCUACGCUAAUACCGCAUACGAACUAUGGUUGAAAGCGGGGGAUCGCAAGACCUCGCGCGAUUGGAGCGGCCGAUGGCAGAUUAGGUAGUUGGUGGGGUAAAGGCUCACCAAGCCGACGAUCUGUAGCUGGUCUGAGAGGACGACCAGCCACACUGGGACUGAGACACGGCCCAGACUCCUACGGGAGGCAGCAGUGGGGAAUUUUGGACAAUGGGCGCAAGCCUGAUCCAGCCAUUCCGCGUGCAGGAUGAAGGCCCUCGGGUUGUAAACUGCUUUUGUACGGAACGAGACGGCUCCGGCUAAUACCUGGAGCUAAUGACGGUACCGUAAGAAUAAGCACCGGCUAACUACGUGCCAGCCGCCGCCGUAACAC